CGCCCGACUCGCACACCAGAUCCCUUCACCGCUGCCCUCCAUCCUUCGCCACCGCAGAUCCAUCUCGCCGCCGCCGCCCUCCAUUCCUCUCUUCCCUUCAAGCUUGUCAACGGCGAAGCAUACGGCGCUCCAUCCCUUCGCCUCCAGGAACCUACCACGUGCGCCGAGGCGAGGGUCUCAUGGACUCCGUCCGUCGCCGCUUGGCUGACGACCCCGCCGCCGGGCAGGAGGAGUGUUCCGCGCCGUGAGGAACCCGCCACGCGCGUCAAGGCGAGGCGCCUCCUGGGCUCCGUCCGUUUCCAGAGCGAGCGCCCGCGAAUACCUAGCUAGCCGCCGCCGUCGUGACCGUUCUAGCCACCGCCAAGGUAAAUGGAACACUGGAUUGCUUGUGAUUGGCCUAAUAGGGAGUCUGCAAGACGUGAUUUCUAUUCAAAGCAUCUCAUCCAGAUCACUUUACAAUACUUUUCAUCAUAUUUAGAAAAUGCGUGUAUGCAUAUAAGUUUCGUGAACAUUUUUUUUUGAAUAUCCAGGUCAAUUUAUGCAUAUCCAGAUUACUUUACAAACAGAACAAAUAUGUGUAUUCCUUUUUCUAAAUAUCUAGAAAAGCAUUCCUCCAUGUAAUAGGGUUUUUGAAAGCAGUAUGCAUAUAAGUUUCGUGAACAAUUUUAUUUUGUUAUUGCAACCAUAAGAAAGGAUCUUACUGGAUUGUCCUGGAAAACAUUACUCUUCUAUUGCCGAUAACUGGAUCUGUGUUAACUCAAUAGGGUGAUCUAGCGAGUUAUCUUGAGACAAAAGGUCGCCUGCAAUCUUAUAAAGUGAUCAGACUUGCCCUGAGACUGCAAGGCCAUCUACCAUUCUGCUGCUAUUUGUUAUUAUAUCAUCUUGUUUGUGAACUUAAAAAGGUCCCUCAAAGAGAAGUGUUUUUCAUAUGCUCCUGAAUCUGGUGUGCGGUAUGAUGGAGUUUACAAAAUUGAGAACUGUUGGAGGAAGAUUGGUGUUCAGGUGCCAACAACAAGUGGGGAGAGAAUCAAUGCAACCCUUGCUGAGGAUCUCCAAUUCUUCAAAAGGAGAGAAGGAUCGUCGGACAUGAGCGGCGGCAUCCGGCGCCAGUUCUUAAACCUGGGGCUGUUUGAUGGGCGCAAACGCGCAUAUUCACUGCGCCGCUUGGACCUCUCCAAGAUGGACUUUUUUCAUCGGACCGCACAAGAGGCGCCCACACAUGGCAAGGUGGUGCCAACACUGACGCCCGCCAAGGCAUGUGCGCCCAACAGGAGAAGGAUCUGCAAGACCGACUUGGCGACGGCAGAGGCCGCGGCACCCAAGCCAGUUCUUAAACCUGGGGCUGUUUGACGGGUGCAAACGCGCGUAUUCGCUGCGCCGCUUGGACCUCUCCAAGAUGGACUUUUUUCACCGGACCGCACAAGAGGCGCCCACACAUGGCAAGGUGUUGCCAACACUGACACCCGCCAAGGCAUGUGCGCCCAAGAGGAGAUGGAUCUGCAAGACCGACUUGGCGACGGCAGAGGCCGCGGCACCCAAGAUCAAUCCGCCAAAAAGCGAGCUGCUCGUGAGGCCACCGGAAGUCUCCUACUCCAUCAGGUCUCCUCGUUGUCUUCAUUUCUUGCCCACGACCUCGGAGAGCAAGGUCAUCUUGGCCGAUCGCGCGAACCGCAUGUUACGCUUCGACACCAUUGACGGUUGCAGCUACAUUGAUACAAUGCCUAGCCUCAACGGGUACAAGCACUCGCCGCUGGCCAUCUCUGUCCCUCCGACGGACUUGCACCUCCAUGGACGGCGAAGACACCGGCAACCUCUACAUCAUUGACGCUCACCUGCAAGGUCAACCCCUCCCCCCGGUCCUUCCCCGACAUCAUCAGCGAGUACCUCGGGGCAGAGCCCGCGCUACCGUACCUGAGCCCCUACAUGCGCGGCGAGAACCUGCUCGUCGGUGCCAACUUCGCGUCCGCCGGCGUCGGCAUCCUCAACGACACAGGCGUGCAAUUCUCAAGCUCCACGCGCACGAACACACACAUGCUCGAAUCAUGUAUAUGUAUCUACAAUAAUGCAAUGUUGAUCCUACUUGUUUUCAGGUUACAAUUUCUGUAUAUAUACUACAAUGUUGAUCCAACUUUUCGGCCCUCGUUCUCCUAUCGUAUAAAUAUUUCGGUGAGAAUCUGGGUCCACUUAGCAUGGAGGAGCUUGAGUAAAUUGAGAACCAAAUAGAAAUAUCCCUCAAGUUGUGAAGCAUAUCAGGUCAAGAAUAAUCUCAGGUUCAUCAGCUUUAGAUAUUUUUCUGUUAUACAUGACUUCUCCCAUGUAAAUUGGGUACAUGUCUUUCUACUUGAUAUUAGUGUAACCUGCCAUAUCUCUCCCAUGUAAAUAGACUACCAGAUUUACUUCAUCUCAGUUGUUACUAUCUCUUAGAAAUUCUUUCUGCAUUCAUCAUAGAAGCAAUUAAAUUCACUAUCAGCGAAGUUCACUGCAAGUUUGCUGCACAAUUUUUAUUUGAUAGAUACACGUGAGAUUAUUAUUUUUCUUUACGUUUGUUCAAUAUAUGAAUAAUUCAUUUGAGAACAGAGACAAAACAUGACAAGAAAGGGGAAGAACUAACCUACAUGGAGCUUGGUCAAGAUCGCCACUCAUGUUUGAUGGUAUUGUUUCUGGUUCCACCGACAUUGUUGAUGCCUGUUACCUAUGGCCCUGUUGCUACUUUCCUCGGUCGGUGUCCACCAGCCACUGCAUGCAGACAAUAGAAUUUAGGCCAGCAAUUGUCGCUGAUCUACGCUACAGGUCGACCCAUAGACAGGGAAAGGAGGCGAUGGCUGGUGGGGAGAGGAGCCGAGGGAUGUGUUGUGGCGGGACAAGAGGCGCAGUGGCAGGGAGAGAAGGUGAAGACUACGCCAUGUGAGUUGCUGAAGUUGUGACUUACGCGGUGGGGAUAAGGGACGUGUGAUGUGCUUGUGUGGUGAGAGGCGAGGAGUGGCUUUUCCUUUUUGUGGGAGGCUGUUCAUAUUUGUCUAUUCUAUUUUUAUAUUAAAGAUACAUACAAUUAUCUAUCAUCAUUAUAAUCAAGAUAAUAAAUAUUUAUUUAUUCCAGUAUGUGUUGAAUUAUUUUGUUUUUGAUUUUAAUAUGCUCUCAUGGAAUGGUAAAAAAUUGGUUCAUCCAAUUUACAAGUUGAGUACUCUAUGUUUGCACGUUCUUACGUUUUCGUGUGAAAUCUUCAUGCUAACUGUAUGAAGUACUCAUGCAGGAUGGUUACAAGUCAAUGAAGAUUUUUUUACUAUAAUUGCUCAAGUACUGUGCGAAGGAAGCUGAAGACAAUAUUUCUGAUAUUUUAGGAGAUGCAAGUGAGGUGGAAUAAUGAAAAUACAUUGCAUCAAGUACAUUUUUCAGUUGUUGCUGUAAUUUUUUUCUAUACAUGUGAAAUUGGAAGUGCAUUAUGUUUAUGUAUGCAAUCAGAAAAAAUUAAAAGGCCCGUGGCAACGCACGGGCAUUGUACUAGUAAUUGUAACUUACCAACUUUACGUUGGAGUCAUGUAUUUACACGCUCAUGACCAAACUUCAUAA